AGAGAAGCUGAGCGUGCCAAGAGAUCCCUUAGUAGCCAGCACCAAGUCCGGGUUGAGAUUGAAUCAUUAUUUGAUGGUACUGAUUUCUCUGAACCACUGACCCGUGCUCGCUUUGAGGAGUUGAACAAUGAUCUCUUCAGAAAGACAAUGGGACCUGUGAAGAAGGCAAUGGAUGAUGCUGGCCUACAAAAGAACCAGAUUGAUGAGA
rnacentral:misc_RNA from 1 species